rnacentral:rRNA from 1 species
UACGUAGGGGGCAAGCGUUGUCCGGAAUCAUUGGGCGUAAAGCGCGUGUAGGCGGUCCGGUAAGUCCGCUGUGAAAGUCGGGGGCUCAACCCUCGGAUGCCGGUGGAUACUGUCGGGCUUGAGUACGGAAGAGGCGAGUGGAAUUCCUGGUGUAGCGGUGAAAUGCGCAGAUAUCAGGAGGAACACCAAUUGCGAAGGCAGCUCGCUGGGACGUUACUGACGCCGAGACGCGAAAGCGUGGGGAGCAAACAGG